rnacentral:tRNA from 1 species
GUGAUUGAAUUAAUUGGGGGCUUUAUCGCUUUCGUAAUGAGAAGGUCGGGGGUUCGAUUCCUCUAUCCGGCACCA